UACGUAGGGGCGAGCGUUGUCCGGAUUUAUUGGGCGUAAAGAGCUCGUAGGCGGUUCGAUAAGUCGGACGUGAAAUCUCCACGCUCAACGUGGAGGGCCGUUCGAUACUGUCGUGACUCGAGUCCGGUAGGGGAGUGUGGAAUUCCCGGUGUAGCGGUGAAAUGCGCAGAGAUCGGGAGGAACACCCGUAGCGAAGGCGGACACUC
rnacentral:rRNA from 1 species